GACGGAGGAUGCAAGUGUUAUCCGGAAUCACUGGGCGUAAAGCGUCUGUAGGUGGUCAAAUAAGUCAACUGUUAAAUCUUGAGGCUCAACCUCAAAAUCGCAGUCGAAACUAUUAGACUAGAGUAUAGUAGGGGUAAAGGGAAUUUCCAGUGGAGCGGUGAAAUGCGUAGAGAUCGGGAAGAACACCGGUGGCGAAAGCGGUCUGCUGGGCCGCAACUGACACUCAGGGACGAAAGCUAGGGGAGCGAAUGGG
rnacentral:rRNA from 1 species